rnacentral:lncRNA from 1 species
AUUAUCUUAGGUUGGGCCAACAAUUGUGCUCUUUCUAUUUCAGAAGGAUGAGUAGAGAAAUAGUUCCAACCAAACAUUUUGUCAAGCUUCUCCCACAAUAUGUCUGAGAUUCUGUCAAGCUUUUUCUCCCACAAUAUGACUGAGAUUCUGUCUUCCUCCUCCAACAAUUUCCCAUGCUCCUCCCACAUUUCGACUGCCACCCGGGGAUCAUAGCCGGCUGAUGCCAUCAACAUCAAUCCAAUGUAAUCAGCUUCUUUUUCAACCUAAAUUUGUGAAUAAAUUGGGUUGUUACAAAAGUUGUAGCCCAAAAAAUCAUAAAUUAAAGAUACAUCACCAUUAUUAACCCCUCUCCUUUCCAUCCCAAUGUUUUCUUUCAUUUCAAACGAAGUGUUAAUGACAUGUAACAAACAUUAAUUACCUUAGAGUUUUUUUCUUCUUUAUCUCAAAGGUUCUACAAUGAUGAGUACUAAGUUAUGUGACACCUAGUGGGAUAAGGCUUUGUUGUUGUUGUUGUAAUAUUGGAAAUACCCUUUUAGAUGCAAGAUGAAACUAGUUUUUGUGUUUGUUAUCUUAUACACCUUUUGUCUUUAUGCCUAACCUGUGAUGGAGUGAUGCUACCUGCACAAAAUCACAAGUAGCUGCAUGAUUUUAAUAGGGAAAUAUCUAAGUAGUCCUGUUUGAAUUCAGAGAGAACCACUUGUGUAUUUGUAGGCUUAGUUUUGCAUAGAGCUGUAUACAUCAUUUGAUGGUAUAUGAUAUGCUUGCAAGGAGGGAGGUAUGGUUUCUUUAGUUAAUCUCUUGGAGAAAAAAUAAACUAAUAAAUAUGAGAUAAG